rnacentral:rRNA from 1 species
AGCGCAGGCGGGAGAAUAAGUUGGAAGUGAAAUCCAUGGGCUCAACCCAUGAACUGCUUUCAAAACUGUUUUUCUUGAGUAGUGCAGAGGUAGGCGGAAUUCCCGGUGUAGCGGUGGAAUGCGUAGAUAUCGGGAGGAACACCAGUGGCGAAGGCGGCCUACUGGGCACCAACUGACGCUGAGGCUCGAAAGUGUGGGUAGCAAACA